UGGUCUGUUAGUGGUGGAAACAACUGGUUUUCCCUGCUCUAUCUGCUUUUGAACCCAAAAUAUCUUCAAGUGAUUAUAGUUAUGUUGCGUUCUGUGAGACGCUGAGGGCAUGCUUAAAGGGCAUGCCAAAAAUUCUGGCAUUAUGGCUUUGCCUCGUCCUCUGCAAAUUUUAAGCUAAUUGAGGUAUGUGCGGAAUAAAUGGGAGAUCUGAUUUCAGUCCAUAUUUAGCCUGAUGGCAUUCAAGCCCUUAUCUCUCAACAUGCCCAAAUCAGUAGACUUUACCAGCUUUUUUUUGUUGUAAGGGCUGGAAUGACAUUUGCCACUUUUCCUAUUGCAUCAGGUCACCAUGUAGCAAGAAUAGAUGGUAUAUGGAACAGAAGGAAAAGGCAAACAAAAAGAGUGAAAACAUUACUUAAUGGAGAGAGCACAUGCUGAGAAGUAAGUCCUGGAGAGCUUGGAGUCUAAAACAAAGACAGUGCAUUUUAAUUGAAAUGGUUGUUUGAUUAAAGAUUAAGUCCAAGCACUCCCCAAGCAAAUAAAACCAGCCCAGUGGUAAUCUGAAAAUCCCGCUUUAAUCUUUGUUUUAUCUCAGUUUGACUAACACUUCUCUUCCUGUUCUGUUCAAUUUCUUCUCUGUGUUUUGGUUGUCAAAAUACAGAGAUGACGAAUGACUUCUUUGCAGAAAGCCGGCAGAAAAUCUGUGUACAGCUGAUGCAUCCAUCGAGCAACAUGUGGGGAAUCUUAAUAGCUCUGUCACCCUCUCAGCUGGAAAAAACCUUCUCAGAGGUUCCAUAAUUUCAUCUGCUGACACUUCCUUUCAUCGAGGCUCUUGAGCCACUUUCCAUGCCAGUUCUAUUUUAGGAUGAAUGGAGCCUGAUCACCCUGCUAAGGUAUGUCCUGAUUUUGAUGUAUUCUGAGAAAAUUGAAAUGUAUAUGCCAGGGAACAGAAAGGAAGAAUGCAAAUUGCUGCAAAAUCUGCAUGGAUGAUGAAUUUUCAACACAUUUUUUAUUAACCAUAAUCCUUUAUUAGACCUCACAGAGGUGUAAACUAUACAUACAAAUACAUUAGAAAGAUACCCUCUUAACAGAAAUGCUUCACAUUUUGGACCUGAUACCAAGAGGGUUGCAAACAUUUCAGUACAUUCUACAAACCAAAGGGUGCAUUAGCCUUUAUGUAUACAGUGACAAAGCCCUUUACUGAAAUCAAAGUAGAUAAAAGUGAAAAUCAGUCAACUACCUCUUCCAACCUUUACCUACCAUAAAUGCAUAUAAAAGCCUUUAAAAGCAUGAAUACACUAUUAUUUAUGGAGCAUAGUUUACUGUUCUAGAAAGCUCAUAGAGAGAGGGGAAGAGAAUGGUCAAGAUGGCAUUACAUGAACUGCAAACAAGCAAAACUUUUUGAUUUUUUUUUUAAUAUUUGUACAGAUCAAGAGCUCCAUUUUUUGAUUUAUUGGUUGUUACUAGAAAAGCUUAUAAGUGCUAGAUGGGGGGAAUAGCGCAACAAAGACAUUGUUGAGGUAUUUGGGGGAUUCUGCAACACAAUGAUGUUACAUACACAGUAUGAAAUAUUAUUUGUCAUCAAGUAGUGACAUUGUAUUAUGAGUAAGCACAAGAAAAUAAAAAAGAAAGAAUAAAUCCAGUUAGAACUUUAAUAGAUAUUUAAAUGGUUUCUACUAAAUGAACACUUAACACUUGUCACUGUUUGGUUAUAAUGAUUUGAAAUGUUAAUAGUAGGAUUAUUCAGUAGUGAAAUCAGAAACUCAUGUAUCCACAUUCAUGCUUUGCAUCAUGGAAACCCCAGUUUUAGACAGGAUACCAACUGAGGUCCAACACUGAAGACAGAGAGGACAGUUAUUCCUUAUGGAAAGGCUGUCCUGAAAAGCAAGUGCUACUAAUCUCUUUGUUUAGCAUUCUGGGUGGCUUUGCAGUAAUUUGGGAGAAAAUAAAGCUUAUACAUAAUUUGUUUAUCAGCAGCAGGUGGUGCUGCUUCUUCUACUUUGAUUUUGUUUCCUGACAUCUUUAGUCUUGAUAAACAUGUUUGAUAUUCAACCCUAAGACUCCAAGGAUUAGGAAACUGUGAAACAAUGAUCACAUUCUGACAAAAGCAAUGAGAGGUGUCAGACUACAGGUGAAGCUGUUCAGAAUAUAAUGAAGUACCAGUGUGUUUUCAAUGGAGCAUUUUAUGACUCAGGUCUGAUGAGAUUUAGUUUAAUCAGGCAACUAUUAUCAUUAUACACAUUUGAGAAUUAUUUUUUUCACCUUGCUCA